UACGUAGGGUGCAAGCGUUGUCCGGAAUUAUUGGGCGUAAAGAGCUCGUAGGCGGCUUGUCGCGUCGGCUGUGAAAACCCGGGGCUCAACCCCGGGCCUGCAGUCGAUACGGGCAGGCUAGAGUCCGGCAGGGGAGACUGGAAUUCCUGGUGUAGCGGUGAAAUGCGCAGAUAUCAGGAAGAACACCCGUGGCGAAGGCGGCUCUCUGGGACGGUACUGACGCUGAGACGCGAAAGCGUGGGGAGCGAACAGG
rnacentral:rRNA from 1 species